AUUACUUCUCAACCUUUUGGUCUAAGAUCAAGUGAUUGUCUGUUCUUAUCUAUUUAAUAUCUGAUAUGUCCUCUAUCUAAGGACAGAAUACUAAAUGGACUUUUGGAGCAGGGGGUUGUAAUAGGAGCUUGCUCUGUCAACUUUAUUGUCAACUCAUU
rnacentral:snRNA from 1 species